rnacentral:rRNA from 1 species
UAUUGGUCAAUGGGCGUAAGCCUGAACCAGCCAAGUCGCGUGAGGGAUGAAGGAUAUAUGGUUCGUAAACCUCUUUUAUAAGGGAAUAAAGUGCGGGACGUGUCCUGUUUUGUAUGUACCUUAUGAAUAAGGAUCGGCUAACUCCGUGCCAGCAGCCGCGGUAAUACGGAGGAUCCGAGCGUUAUCCGGAGUUAUUGGGUUUAAAGGGUUCGUAGGCGGCCUUUUAAGUCAGCGGGGAAAGUCUGUGGCUCAACCAUAGAACUGCCGUUGAAACUGGGGGGCUUGAGUAUGUUUGAGGCAGGCGGAAUGCGUGGUUGAGCGGUGAAAUGCAUAGAUAUCACGCAGAACCCCGAUUGCGAAGGCAGCCUGCCAAGCCAUGACUGACGCUGAUGCACGAAAGCGUGGGGAUCGAACAGG